rnacentral:rRNA from 1 species
AUUGAACGCUGGCGGCAGGCCUAACACAUGCAAGUCGAACGAGCGGCGGACGGGUGAGUAAUGUCUGGGAAUCUGCCCGAUGGAGGGGGAUAACUACUGGAAACGGUAGCUAAUACCGCAUACCAUCGGAUGUGCCCAGAUGGGAUUAGCUAUUAGGUGGGGUAACGGCUCACCUAGGCGACGAUCUCUAGCUGGUCUGAGAGGAGGACCAGCCACAGUGGAACGGGGACAGGGACCAGACGCCUACGGGAGGCAGCAGUGGGGAAUAUUGCACAAGGGGCGCAAGCCUGAUGCAGCCAUGCCGCGUGUAUGAAGAAGGCCUUAGGGUGGUAAAGUACUUUCAGCGGGGAGGCGUUACUCGCAGAAGAAGCACCGGCUAACUCCGUGCCAGCCGCCGCGGUAAUUC